rnacentral:rRNA from 1 species
GUCGAGAAUCAUUCGCAAUGGGCGAAAGCCUGACGAUGCGACGCCGUGUGAACGAAGAAGGCCUUCGGGUCGUAAAGUUCUUUCGCUUGGGAGCAAGAGAGGCGAGCUAAUAAUUCGCUAAUUUGAGUGUACCAGGUAAAGAAGCACCGGCUAACUCCGUGCCAGCAGCUGCGGUAAUACGGAGGGUGCAAGCAUUAAUCGGAUUUAUUGGGCGUAAAGGGCGCGUAGGCGGGAAUGUUAGUCAGAUGUGAAAGCCCAGGGCUCAACCCUGGAACAGCAUUUGAAACUACAUUGCUAGAGGAUAGGCGGAGAAAACGGAAUUCCACGUGUAGCGGUGAAAUGCGUAGAUAUGUGGAAGAACACCGGUGGCGAAAGCGGUUUUCUAGCUUAGACCUGACGCUGAGGCGCGAAAGCAAGGGGAGCAAACAGGAUUAGAAACCCGAGUAGUCC